AUUGAACGCUGGCGGCAUGCUUUACACAUGCAAGUCGAACGGUAACAGCACUUCGGUGGCUGACGAGUGGCGAACGGGUGCGUAAUACAUCGGAACGUGCCUAGUAGUGGGGGAUAACUACUCGAAAGAGUAGCUAAUACCGCCUGAGAUCUAAGGAUGAAAGCAGGGGACCUUCGGGCCUUGCGCUACUAGACCGGCUGAUGGCAGAUUAGGUAGUUGGUGGGAUAAAAGCUUACCAAGCCGACGAUCUGUAGCUGGUCUGAGAGGACGACCAGCCACACUGGAACUGAGACACGGCCCAGACUCCUACGGGAGGCAGCAGUGGGGAAUUUUGGACAAUGGGCGCAAGCCUGAUCCAGCAAUGCCGCGUGCAGGAUGAAGGCCUUCGGGUUGUAAACUGCUUUUGUACGGAACGAAAAGCCCUCUUCUAAUACAGGAGGGUCAUGACGGUACCGUAAGAAUAAGCACCGGCUAACUACGUG
rnacentral:rRNA from 1 species